UACGGAGGGGGCUAGCGUUGUUCGGAAUUACUGGGCGUAAAGCGCACGUAGGCGGCUUUGUAAGUUAGAGGUGAAAGCCCAGGGCUUAACUCUGGAAUUGCCUUUAAGACUGCAUCGCUAGAAUCGUGGAGAGGUGAGUGGAAUUCCGAGUGUAGAGGUGAAAUUCGUAGAUAUCGGGAGGAACACCAGUGGCGAAGGCGGCGAUCUGGGAAGAUACUGACGCUGAGGUGCGAAAGCGUGGGGAGCAAACAGG
rnacentral:rRNA from 1 species